AAGAGUAUAGCUAUAUUUAAGUAACAGGUUCUUACCCUGUAGAAGGGCAUUGCUCUAUUCUUA
rnacentral:tRNA from 1 species